rnacentral:miRNA from 1 species
GCAGACACAUUCCAGCCAAUCAGCAGCAGACCCUCCCUCCCAGACCCUCCCACCUCCUGGACAGCAUCCAUUUUACAUUCAUUGUGCUGCAUUCUUAGUGAGCUGUCCAGGAGGUGGGAGGGUCUGGGAGGGAGGGUCUGCUGCUGAUUGGCUGGAAUGUGUCUG